AUUGAACGCUGGCGGCAUGCCUUACACAUGCAAGUCGAACGGUAACAGGUCUUCGGAUGCUGACGAGUGGCGAACGGGUGAGUAAUGCAUCGGAACGUGCCCAGUAGUGGGGGAUAGCCCGGCGAAAGCCGGAUUAAUACCGCAUACGACCUGAGGGAGAAAGGGGGGGAUCGCAAGACCUCUCGCUAUUGGAGCGGCCGAUGUCAGAUUAGCUAGGUGGUGGGGUAAAGGCCUACCAAGGCAACGAUCUGUAGUUGGUCUGAGAGGACGACCAGCCACACUGGGACUGAGACACGGCCCAGACUCCUACGGGAGGCAGCAGUGGGGAAUUUUGGACAAUGGGCGCAAGCCUGAUCCAGCAAUGCCGCGUGCAGGAAGAAGGCCUUCGGGUUGUGAACUGCUUUUGUCAGGGAAGAAAUCUUCUGGGUUAAUACCUCGGGAGGAUGACGGUACCUGAAGAAUAAGCACCGGCUAACUACGUGCCAGCCGCCGCCGUAACAC
rnacentral:rRNA from 1 species